rnacentral:rRNA from 1 species
AUUGAACGCUGGCGGCAUGCCUUACACAUGCAAGUCGAACGGUAGAGUAGCAAUACUUGAGAGUGGCGAACGGGUGAGUAAUAUAUCGGAACGUGCCCAGUCGUGGGGGAUAACGUAGAGAAAUUUACGCUAAUACCGCAUACGAUCUAAGGAUGAAAGCGGGGGAUUCGCAAGAACCUCGCGCGAUUGGAGCGGCUGAUAUCAGAUUAGGUUGUUGGUGAGGUAAAAGCUCGACCAAGCCGACGAUCUGUAGCUGGUUUGAGAGAACGACCAGCCACACUGGGACUGAGACACGGCCCAGACUCCUACGGGAGGCAGCAGUGGGGAAUUUUGGGACAAUGGGCGAAAGCCUGAUCCAGCAAUGCCGCGUGCAGGAA